rnacentral:rRNA from 1 species
CCCUUAGAUGUUCUGGGCUGCACGCGCGCUACACUGAAGCGUUCAACGAGUAUUCACCUUGCCCGGGAGGGUUGGGUAAUCUUUUGAAAACGCUUCGUGAUGGGGAUAGAUUAUUGCAAUUAUUAAUCUUCAACGAGGAAUUCCUAGUAAGCGCGAGUCAUCAGCUCGUGCUGAUUACGUCCCUGCCCUUUGUACACACCGCCCGUCGCUCCUACCGAUUGAGUGAUCUGGUGAAUAAUUCGGACUGCAGCACUGCUUGGUCUCCAGGCUUUGCAGCGGAAAGUUUAGUGAACCUUAUCACUUAGAGGAAGGAGAAGUCGUAACA